UACGGAGGGGGGCUAGCGUUGUUCGGAAUUACUGGGCGUAAAGCGCACGUAGGCGGCUUUGUAAGUUAGAGGUGAAAGCCCAGGGCUUAACCCUGGAAUUGCCUUUAAGACUGCAUCGCUAGAAUCGUGGAGAGGUGAGUGGAAUUCCGAGUGUAGAGGUGAAAUGCGCAGAUAUCAGGUGGAACACCAGUGGCGAAGGCGGCUUUCUGGACGGUAACUGACGCUGAGACGCGAAAAGCGUGGGGGAGCAAACAGG
rnacentral:rRNA from 1 species